AUUAACAAAUCAUUGAGCGAAAGCUCACUAACCUUUGUGAAUUGGCUUGCGAAAGCAAGUUAGAUGGGUUUGAGGGGGCAAGGAAAAAGUUAGGGAAAGUUAGAGUUCGCUCUAACCGGAUGUAACCUUUUCCGAGCCAACAUUAUUAUUGUCUAAUUAUUAUUGGAUUUCGAAAGAUUUCUAACAACUAAUACAACUUUUAACAAUGGAUCUCUUGGCUCUUGCAUCGAU
rnacentral:misc_RNA from 1 species